ACACAAGGAUCAUGACGGAAAUUCAUCUUCCAGAAAGUCAGAGCAGCGUCCACACCCCUGACGAUGUGAGGUGUCUGCUGUUGAUUCCAGCUUCCACCUCAGUGACAGUGCAAGCUCAGUGAACUGUUCAAGGAGGCUACUGAUUCUGGCCCUGUGACACUUGGUGGUGACGUGUGAGCUGAUUCACCUGGACACUCAGCAAAAUAUGGACUCUACACCAUGAGGCAGGCACAAGUUAAUACUUAUAAGAGCACAUAAGCAUGAGGAUGUCCUCACACACCUGUAACCUAUCAGCUCAUCUGGCAGAAUAGAGAGAGAAGAGACAACACCACAUCUCCUGUUCCUGGAAAGCCUUCAGCCAUCCUUCGAUGACUGAGAACCUCCAUCAGCUCUGUCUCCUGUCUGCCUACAAAUAUUAUAAUAAAUAUUGUGUUUGACA